CAUUCUUCUUUCUGCCCUUCCGCUCAGUGUCCGCGGCUGGUAGCGGAAGUGAACCGGGCUCGGAGAGGAAGGCCGAAAGAAUCCGGCUCGGGAGGAAGAACGGGAGUGCGUUUGGGUUGGCGGUGCUGCCGCUGCUGCGGAGGCGAGGAGACCGAGCUGAGACAGUGAAAAGGAAUCCCUGAGCAGAGCGGCCGACGACUUGCAAGAGAGAAGCACAAGGAAAUUUCCCUUCUCAGCAGAUUUCUUGCGUCCGCUUUCCAGGUGGGUGUCCGGACUGAACCCCUAACAACGAGCAGGAAGCCGACGUUUCAUCACUUACCCUGUUCUCACCAAUGUUCCUGUGUUUGAGGUCAGUGGGAACAAAGCACCUUCCUGGAAUAUAGGGUCUCUCUGCACUUUUCCCGCUCAAUCACAACCAUUGGGCUGCUUGUUGCUGUCAAUAAAGUCUUUGUAGCCAUCAACCCAAGUGCGGUUUCAAUGGGAAAAUGAAGCUGGAAAUUCUUGAGGAACUACAAAAUCAAGAUGUUAAAAUAAACAGCAUUUCCAAUAAAAUUGAAUGUAAUUAUAUGGGAAUAACAUCUAACAGUUUGAAAUUGCUGUCUUAUUGAUCUCAUGGCUGAUUUUACACUAAUUGGUUUCUGGAGCUAAGCUCCAGAAAUGCCAGUUGGCUUCAUUUAUCAUUAUUAGUCUAAUAGUAAUAAGAAAAUAACUCAUUUGUAUUACAAUAAUACCACCAAAUUAAUGUGAAAGUUUAUAUUAAAGGAAGAAUUAACCCUGUCCCCUCCAAAUCCACUAUACUAAUUAAAUUGGCUGUCCAAGUGUUCUAGCUACAUUUCAUUUAGGAAUAUGUAAGGGGUUUAUUAUGUAGUUUAACUCUGGCUGCAAUCUAAUGCAUAGUUAUUUGGUAGAAAUGCUUAUUGUAGAAAAGUUUUCUAUCUUUAUAAUUUGUUGAUUAAAAUAAAGUUGAACAAAGUUGAGAUGUAGUUUGCUUCAAAAGGAAAGGUCAUAAUAAACUCUACCAGUGUUAUGAAAUACAUAAUAAUCACAGAAUAAUGCAAUGUUUUUCAACCUGACUCUCUAGUUAUUUUUCACCAUAUUUUUACUCUGAUCCAUUCAACAUGACCAAUUAUUAGAAAUGAGUUUUAUUAAACAUUCUGAAAAACUGACAUAACAGAUGUGUUGUGUAUUUAUACUUAAAGCACCUGAUAAAAUUAACACAAUUACAUUGGGAUUUUUUUUAAAUCUGUGAAUAGCU